rnacentral:rRNA from 1 species
UACGUAGGUGGCAAGCGAUACUCGGAAUUACUGGGCGUAAAGCGUGCGUAGGUGGUUUGUUAAGUCUGAUGUGAAAGCCCUGGGCUCAACCUGGGAACGGCAUUGGAAACUGGCUUACUAGAGUGCGGUAGAGGGGUGUGGAAUUCCCGGUGUAGCAGUGAAAUGCGUAGAUAUCGGGAGGAACAUCUGUGGCGAAGGCGACACCCUGGACCAGCACUGACACUGAGGCACGAAAGCGUGGGGAGCAAACAGG